rnacentral:rRNA from 1 species
UACGGAGGAUCCGAGCGUUAUCCGGAUUUAUUGGGUUUAAAGGGUGCGCAGGCGGGAGAUUAAGUCGGCGGUGAAAUUUUGCAGCUCAACUGUAAAAGUGCCAUUGAUACUGGUUUUCUUGAGUGUGGAUGAAGUAGGCGGAAUUUGUGGUGUAGCGGUGAAAUGCAUAGAUAUCACGAGGAACUCCGAUUGCGCAGGCAGCUUACUAAACCAUAACUGACGCUCAGGCACGAAAGCGUGGGGAUCAAACAGGAUUAGAUACCCCGGUA